UACGGAGGGUGCAAGCGUUAUCCGGAAUCACUGGGUUUAAAGGGUGCGUAGGCGGCUUGAUAAGUCAGAGGUGAAAGCCCACGGCUAAACUGUGGAACUGCCUUUGAUACUGUCAGGCUUGAAUUGGGUUGAGGCAGGGGGAAUGUGGCAUGUAGCGGUGAAAUGCUUAGAUAUGCCAAAGAACACCGUUUGCGAAGGCAGCCUGCCAAGCCUUGAUUGACGCUGAGGCACGAAAUCGUGGGGAGCGAACAGG
rnacentral:rRNA from 1 species